rnacentral:lncRNA from 1 species
AUUUUUGGCUGCACUCAACAUGUUAGAAAGGGUCUAAUGGGUCAACGAGCAAAUGUCCAAAAAUACCUUCGACGUUUAUCCCGAUAUCCCACUUACACUCUAACUAAUUUUUUUUUUCAAAAGUACCCUUAAGAUUACAAAUUUUAAAUCACCUUUGUCCCUCUCGUUAACAAACAUGCCACCUAGACAAACGGGUGUUAAUUUAUUUAUAAUGUAGCUGAUAUGUGGCAACAUUUGCAGACAUGUACAAAAAAUUAUAAUUAUCAAAUUGUACAUGAAAAAAAUUAUAGCUGCACUAAUUAAAAAUUAAUUAAUACUUUAAAGUUUAAACCAAAAAAAGUUUAUAUAUUACAUUACCCAAACACAAUACUGUAACCUAAAUUCAACCAAAAUUAAAUUCAUCAUCAACCUUCAAACUUUCAGAUCUAAAGAUGUAAUUAAAUGAAUCACAUGAUUGAGCUCGCAAGUCUCACUCUAAUGAAUAAACUUAAAAAAGUAGUGGAAAAAAAACCUAACUUGAUCUUAAAGCCAGAAACAACGAAUCAAACCCACUUUAAUCCAUCUUUUCUUUUAAUCUAUCAUUCAUCUCUUCAUAACUAGUUAGGGUUCUUAAACCCAGAAAAUAUGAAUGAAACCUACUUGAAUCAAUCUUUUCUUCCAAUCUAUCAUUCAUCUCUUCAUCACAAUCACAGUUAGAGUUCAGUAGUUACUAUUUACUAACCAUGAAAAUUGAUCCGAAAGAGGUGUAUUGUUUUUAUACAUUGAAGUUCCUUGCGUCUCCAAAUAUGUCGUCUGACAGCGAUGGCUACGAUCUUUGUUUGAACGAUCUCUAUCUCGGAUCUCAACUGGGUCAGUGUCGCGUAUUGAUUUUUUCAUAUCUACAAUACUGAUCAAUCAUCAUAUAUAUCCUUAAUAAACAAUAUAGUAAUUCGACUGAGCUACUAGAUAAAAGGAAAAUGCACAACCCCAAUUAUUCCAGGGCAACAAAAAUAUUAAUUCUCUAAACCCAAAUACAGAAACUUGACGAAAGUAUCAUUAUAUCAUAUAUAUUAAAUCGGAAAAAAAAACUCAUAAAUUUGAUCAAAUAGAAAGGGAAUAUAAUUUCAGUACCUCCAGGACCCAAUAAAUCGGAUUCAUAAAAAUUCAGACUGGAGGCAAAAAAACAUAAAAGAACGAAUAAUAAUUUUUAACAAAAACAAAGAAGGAAUAAAGUGAGUGGACUGACAACACCAUUGAAGAAGCUUAUAUCUUGGUCAGGUAGAAGAAAAGCAACAUAUUUCAAUUUGUUAGGCCAAGAAAAAGAAAAGCAGCAUAUUUCCUUUCACUUGCAGAGGCCUCAGUUUUUAGCUCCAUUACUGGAUCUGGAGAUCAAAGAUGAAGACGAUGAAUGUAGCGAGAAUUGCGAAGUUAAUGUGACGAGAGGGAGGGAUCUGAGAUUGCACAAUCGAUCUCUCCAUCGGAAAGCUAGAUCUCUUUCUCCUCUCUGAGGCGGCGAGUGUAAAUAUAGAU